GAAAGUCAGUUGGAGCCUGGCCAAGAGAUGAACUGAGAGACUUCCUUGACUUCUGACCAAGGGGGAGACUUCCCUGGUUUCUAACCAAGGGAGUGACUGGCUUUUUUCUGACCUAGGAUGAGACUUUGGUGUGGCUGAUGUUCAUGAUUGAUUGCUAUAUACUGGGCUGGUCUAUUAGCUAUCAGUAGUGAUCAAUAGGCACCCACUGAUACUAUCCCUGGUAGUAGUAUCUCCAUUACAACUAGGCACCCUCAGGUUUCCCCUAGUACCUCUCUAGUCAAGCCAGAGUAUCUCAGUUAUUUCAACCAGAAAUAUCUCCAAGAUUAUCUAUUCUAAUACAUCAAGAAUUCUCUUUCCUUCUGAAAAGAAGGCAAUAUUCAAAAAUCCUUUACACACCUCUGUUUUCUGCCACCUCUACUUCAGAAACAUCCCUGACAACACAGCAGGAAUGCCGACUUCAGAAUGGAAAAAAAGUGUUCAAUAGAAUGGCCCCAUUUGAAAGAAACAAAAGAGAAAGAACCAAUGAAGCAAAGAACUACAAAAACUUCUGUCUUCUUUAGUUUAUGACCAUCCUAAAAAUCUGAUGGAUAGCCUUUUAAAAUAUAACAUUGCCCAAAGAGAUUAUAGGUCUUAGAGAAAAAAAAAACUUAGAAAAAUUAGAAUUAAUAGACAUAUGGAGAAAAAUAAAUAGGGAUAAAAAGGAAUACA
rnacentral:lncRNA from 1 species